UACAGAGGUCCCAAGCGUUGUUCGGAUUCACUGGGCGUAAAGGGUGCGUAGGUGGUCAGAUAAGUUUGAUGUGAAAUCUCGGAGCUUAACUCCGAAACUGCAUUGGAUACUGUUUGGCUUGAGGGUCGGAGGGGGGACUGGAAUUCUCGGUGUAGCAGUGAAAUGCGUAGAUAUCGAGAGGAACACCAGUGGCGAAGGCGAGUCCCUGGACGACUCCUGACACUGAGGCACGAAAGCUAGGGGAGCAAACAGG
rnacentral:rRNA from 1 species